rnacentral:siRNA from 1 species
UGUAAAUAUCAGGUUCCAUUU